CCUACGGGAGGCUGCAGUGAGGAAUAUUGGUCAAUGGACGAGAGUCUGAACCAGCCAAGUAGCGUGAAGGUUGACUGCCCUAUGGGUUGUAAACUUCUUUUAUAUGGGAAUAAAAUGUUCCACGUGUGGGAUUUUGUAUGUACCAUAUGAAUAAGGAUCGGCUAACUCCGUGCCAGCAGCCGCGGUAAUACGGAGGAUCCGAGCGUUAUCCGGAUUUAUUGGGUUUAAAGGGAGCGUAGGUGGAUUGUUAAGUCAGUUGUGAAAGUUUGCGGCUCAACCGUAAAAUUGCAGUUGAAACUGGCAGUCUUGAGUACAGUAGAGGUGGGCGGAAUUCGUGGUGUAGCGGUGAAAUGCUUAGAUAUCACGAAGAACUCCGAUUGCGAAGGCAGUUCACUGGACUGCAACUGACACUGAGGCUCGAAAGUGUGGGUAUCAAACAGGAUUAGAUACCCGUGUAGUC
rnacentral:rRNA from 1 species